GGGAGAAGAGGAGCAGGGGCAGGGGAGAAGAGGAGCAGGGGCAGGGAAAGCAAGGAGCCAAACAUCUGUAGCCCAGGUUGGAUUUUAUCCUUUUCAGUUCCUCGAGGCUCAGAGACCUCUGAAGUAACCGUACUGCCCAGAGCUGCAUCAUUACAGCAGGGGAUAUUUAACUUCCCACCGCUCUGCACUGCAGCUGCUUCAGAGGGCUUAGUAUUACUAGGGGGUACAAUUUCUGAUAGUCUUCAAUAGAAAACAUCAGUUGGAGCUGUGUUCUCUUUCCAUCAGGGGAAGGGAAGGGAAUACACAUUUAUCUGGUGCCUACUAUGUACCAGACAGUGCACUAAGUGUUUAUUUCAUUUGAUCUCACAACAACCCUGGGAGGUAAGUUCUAUUGAUCCCCAUUUUAUAGUUGAGGAAAUUUCGGCUGACAUAAGUCAAAUGACUUGUGCAGGGUGAUACAGCCAGUAAGUGCCUGAGGUCAAAUUUGAAUUCAGGUCUAUCUGACUCAGUGCCCAGCGCUCUAUCCCAGGGGUGGGGAACCUGCAGCCUCAAGGCUAUAUGUCCCUCUAGGCCCUCAAGUGUGAUCCUUUGAGAGAAUCCAAACUUCACUGAACAAAUCCCCUUAAUAAAAGGAUUUGUUCUGUAAAACUUGAACUCAGUCAAAAGGCCUCUCUGCUGAAGGUUCCCCACCCCUGCUCUAUCCACUACAUUACCCAAACAAUAAACAUUUCUUAAGCUCCUACUUUGUUCCAGGCACUCCACUAGGCACUGGGGAUACUAAAAGAGGCAAAAGACAGUCCCUGCCUUCAGGCAAUUUCUCACUGAUUUCUCUGUUUUGUUUUUCAGCUAUUCCUCUGGGAGUGGUGGGUUACUUGGCUAAAAAUACCCCAAAUACAAUCCACGGAGAUAUCUGGUUACAAGGAACAAUUGAAGAUGGCAUUGACUUAGGAGAAGAAAAAAUCUACUAUUUUGAAGAGGAAUGCUUCCAGGAAAAUGGGGGGGAAGCCAGCAAAAAUAAAACCAAGGAAAGAAAUGAAGUUCUCCUUGAAGAGGAAGAAAGGGAAGAUGGGAAGGCUAAAGUGGACAAGGAGAAGGAAACAGAACAAGAAAAGAGCAUGAUGUAUAAAAGAACAAAAAAUAGGAUGAAAGCAAGAAAUUGAAGGUCAAGGACAAAGGAGAAGACUUGUGGGGGGAGGGGGGAAGUUAGAGAAUAAGCAGAAAGGUAGGAAGGCUGAGAGAUGCCUGAAGAUGAAAAGUCAAAUCCAAGGACAUUUUUUUUUAAAGGAAGCUAAUGGGGGUAAGUUAAGGAAGAGAAAGUGACCCAAAUGAAAUGAUCAGUGUUACUACAAAAUUCUCACCUGUUUCCUGUCUGAGUCAUCAAUUAGGAUAAGAACAUUCUGUGAAUUUACUAACUUUCUACUACUCUGUGUGUAAUUUGAAAAAAGUCCUUCAGAGGUUUCAUCUUUUAGUUCUCUUGGUCACAAAUCUCGGGUUCCAAAUAUCUGUUUUAUAAGUUCAUGUUCAUAUUAUUCAGUCAGGAAGAAAUGAGGAUUUUCUGAAAUAGAGUAUUGAUUAAAGCAACUUAAAAUCAUUUCCUUGGAUUAGUCUAGUAUCUCUGUGGGAGCCUCUAUCAACCCAAAAGAUAUUAAUUAAUUAGCUGCUAUGAAUAAUAAUAAUAAUAAUAGCUUAGCAUUUAUGUAGUGUUUAUUACAGGGCAGUUAGGUGGUGCACUUGAUAGAGUGCUGGGCUUGGAAUCAGGCAGACUCAUCUUCCUGAGUUCAAAUCUGGCCUCAGACAUUUACUAGCUGUAUGACCCUGGGGAAGCCACUUAACCCUAUUCAAGUCAGUUUCUUCAUCUGUAAAAUGAGCUGGAAGAGGAAGUGGCAGACCGCUCUAGUAUCUUUGCCAUGAAAACCCCAAAUAUGGGAUCAUGAAAAGUUGACUGAACUUAAAUGCAUAAACACACCACACCUUUUCAGUGAAUGAGGCCAAUUCCCAGGUAUUUCCUCUAUGUACCUCUUCUGCCCUCCUGUGGCUGCCAGACCUCAAGGCCCUGACUUUUGUGCUGGAGAAAAAAAAAAAUCAUGCCGGAGUUUCUGCCACAAAAAAAAUUGGAGGAAUUCAGCAACUGAGAACCAGGGAAUGUCAGAGAUGAAAGGA
ensembl:lncRNA